rnacentral:rRNA from 1 species
CCUACGGGAGGCUGCAGUGAGGAAUAUUGGUCAAUGGGCGGAAGCCUGAACCAGCCAAGUCGCGUGAGGGAAUAAGGCCCUACGGGUCGUAAACCUCUUUUGCCGGGGAGCAAGGGCGGGGACGUGUCCCGGCCCGGAGAGUACCCGGAGAAAAAGCAUCGGCUAACUCCGUGCCAGCAGCCGCGGUAAUACGGAGGAUGCGAGCGUUAUCCGGAUUUAUUGGGUUUAAAGGGUGCGUAGGCGGGCGUUUAAGUCAGCGGUAAAAAUUCGGGGCUCAACCCCGUCCGGCCGUUGAAACUGGGGGCCUUGAGUGGGCGAGAAGAAGGCGGAAUGCGUGGUGUAGCGGUGAAAUGCAUAGAUAUACGGAGGAACACCAGUGGCGAAGGCGGAUUGCUGGACAGUAACUGACGCUGAGGCGCGAAAGCGUGGGGAGCAAACAGGAUUAGAUACCCCUGUAGUC